CAAGAAGAGACCACAGGCAUCCUUUGCAGUUUGAGACUUGGAGAGCUGCAUCCUUCUAUGGCUUCAUCUUGGUCCAAGAGUCUAAUAAUGAAUGGACAGAUUCUUGGCUCCUGGGAACAAUGCUGUGUGGCAUAUCAACCACCACAGUCUUCAGAAGGUCUUAGGAGAAGAUUUCUUGGGGAAAUCAGAAGGAUGUCUCAGUGAAUUGAAAACAACCUGAAAGCAGAUGACCAGAAAGCAGCUGGAUAACAUGAAAUAGAUCACAAUUACUCUUUGAAAACAUACUAACAGGACAAAACCUCAAGGUUAAAACCUUAACACAGUCUGCGUGUGAGCAGGAUUCCUCUCCUAAAGCUGUUCAGACCAAGAUAUUCUACUCCAAGAGGGUAGCAGAACCAACAGGUACAAUCAUUUUUUUGUGAUAAAACUUUGUCAACAUGGCAAAACUUUCAGUGUUAAUGAAAG
rnacentral:lncRNA from 1 species